GUAGGUGGCAAGCGUUGUCCGGAAUUAUUGGGCGUAAAGCGCGCGCAGGCGGUCCUUUAAGUCUGAUGUGAAAGCCCACGGCUCAACCGUGGAGGGUCAUUGGAAACUGGGGGACUUGAGUACAGAAGAGGAAAGCGGAAUUCCAAGUGUAGCGGUGAAAUGCGUAGAGAUUUGGAGGAGCACCAGUGGCGAAGGCGGCUUUCUGGUCUGUAACUGACGCUGAGGCGCGAAAGCGUGGGGAGCAAACAGGGAUUAGAUACCCUGGUAGUCCACGCCGUAAACGAUGAGUGCUAAGUGUUAGGGGGUUUCCCGCCCCCUUAGUGCUGCAGCUAACGCAUUAAGCACUCCGCCUGGGGAGUACGGCCGCAAGGCUG
rnacentral:rRNA from 1 species